rnacentral:lncRNA from 1 species
CAGUUAAGAGGCUCCUGCACCCCAGAUCAGCAUGAGACCACCUUCACGGAAGCUGCUACCUGCAGUACCUUGAGAACCCUCAGACAAGCCUGCAGAAAACCCACAUGUGAGGGACUGAGGCCCUCAGUUCAACAGGCCAUGAAGAACGGAGACCUUCUAACUACGACUUGAGUGGGUUCAGAAGUGGAUUUUUCAGCCCAAGCAGAGUCUUGAGAUGACUGUAGCCUUGGCCAACAGCUUUGCUGGAACUUCAUGAGAGAACUUGCAGCAGAAAUACUUAGCUAAGCAGCUCAGUUAAUUCCUGACCCACAGAACUGUGAGAUGAUAAAUGUUUGUUG